UACGUAGGGUGCGAGCGUUGUCCGGAAUUAUUGGGCGUAAAGAGCUCGUAGGCGGUCUGUUACGUCGGCUGUGAAAACCUGGGGCUCAACCCCGGGCCUGCAGCCGAUACGGGCAGACUAGAGUUCGGUAGGGGAGACUGGAAUUCCUGGUGUAGCGGUGAAAUGCGCAGAUAUCAGGAGGAACACCGGUGGCGAAGGCGGGUCGCUGGGCCGAUAUUGACGCUGAGGAGCGAAAGCGUGGGGAGCGAACAGG
rnacentral:rRNA from 1 species